UUAGAGGGGAGAACAGAUACAUGUGUGUCAGCGCCUCGUUUCAUGUUACAGCGUGUCACAGAAAUAGCAUCCAAAAGCCACUACCGUUGUUUAUAGGGGUAUAUUUCAUACAGGGCUAUUUUUGUAUGUUUUGAUUUAUUUUCUCUGUUGAUUUGGGAUCUUUAUAAUCUUGAGAAGGAAUGUGAUUUAAGGAGUAAUGUGUAUUAACCCUUUCUAAUCAGCCGAAUUUCACCCAAAGGGAGUGUUCAAUAGUUGGGCUACUGUUUUAUUUGUUUUAUUUAUUUUUCUUUAAACUGAAUAGGCCAUUGUAACUAAAUAUUUACAUUGUAUUUGGAGCUUGUGUUAAUUUGAUCUCUUUUUAUAUUUCUUGUAAACUUGGUUUAUUAUAAUAUACUACACAGGGGGAAAUUUCACAGUCAUUUAAUGCUGUGUUUUCUCUUAACUCAGUCGGAAAUAAAGAACCCCUGUUAGA